rnacentral:tRNA from 1 species
GUAGAUAGCUCAGUCAGUAGAGCACGAGACUCUUUAAUCUCAGGCUCAUGGGUUCAAGCCCCGUGUUGGGUGAAACA